rnacentral:misc_RNA from 1 species
AAGUCGUAACAAGGUUUCCGUAGGAACCUGCGGAAGGAUCAUUCGCAAUAAGUGGUUUUUUUUUAUAAUUCAUAAAAAAAAAUCUGUUGCCACCUUGUGUGCAAUGUAUGAGAAAAGGGCUUCUUUUUUUCUAUAUCAACUCUUUGCUUUGAACCAGUUUGUCUGAAAUUAAACAUAUUCUUUGAAUAACUUAAUUCAAAAAUGCAACUUUCAACAACGGAUCUCUUGGCUCUC